UACGGAGGGGGGCUAGCGUUGUUCGGAAUUACUGGGCGUAAAGCGCACGUAGGCGGCUUUGCAAGUUAGAGGUGAAAGCCCGGAGCUUAACUCCGGAAUUGCCUUUUAAAAACUGCAUCGCUAGAAUUGUGGAGAGGUGAGUGGAAUUCCGAGUGUAGAGGUGAAAUUCGUAGAUAUUCGGAAGAACACCAGUGGCGAAGGCGACUCACUGGACACAUAUUGACGCUAAGGUGCGAAAAGCGUGGGGAGCAAACAGG
rnacentral:rRNA from 1 species